rnacentral:rRNA from 1 species
UACGUAGGUGGCGAGCGUUGUCCGGAUUUACUGGGCGUAAAGGGAGCGUAGGCGGACUUUUAAGUGAGAUGUGAAAUACCCGGGCUCAACUUGGGUGCUGCAUUUCAAACUGGAAGUCUAGAGUGCAGGAGAGGAGAGUGGAAUUCCUAGUGUAGCGGUGAAAUGCGUAGAGAUUAGGAAGAACACCAGUGGCGAAGGCGAUUCUCUGGACUGUAACUGACGCUGAGGCUCGAAAGCGUGGGGAGCAAACAGGAUUAGAUACCCCUGUA